UGCUAGUCUUCCACGCCACAGGAGACAGUGUUGUCCAACAGCAGAAGCUUCAGCCAGAACACAGUGUUCAUCUUCAUGAUGACUGCGUCUCGUCCACAUUCUCAUUCAGUGUCUUUGAUCAUGACAAGAAUGGAUCAUUAAGCUUAACUGCUGUGACAACUUUUAGAAGAAGACGUUGAGAAUCCUUUCAAACCCAGUACUGCCGGGAACAAUCUUUCAUCGGAAAAAGCCCAGGAAGCUACAGACCGAUGCAGCACAAAAUGGAGCUGACCUCAGCGUGCACCACUCUGGAGACCGGCCAUGCUCUGACUGAAAUGUGAAGGAAGCCCCUUCCCAUUCCUGUUUCCUUUGUCAUCUAAGCCUUUUGCCGAUAGUCUCUGUCUCCACAGGCCUAAGAUUUACAGAACGGCUGGGUGAGCUUUUGGGGAAAGCAGUGAUGAACCAAGGGCAGUCAUGCAACAGAGCUACAAUGGUGGUACCACAGACAGCUAACACCUCAAGAAAGGACCCUGUGUCUGGAAAGGCUGGGAAAGGCGGUGCCUUGAGCAAAGAAUAUGGGAGAGAAUCUGGGUUUCUUUUCCUGUGUGUGUGUGUGUGUGUGUGUGU